rnacentral:piRNA from 1 species
UGCUAAAUGUAAGUGUAGCAGUGAAGACA